GACGAACGCUGGCGGCGUGCUUAACACAUGCAAGUCGAACGGAAAGGCCCUGCUUUUGUGGGGUGCUCGAGUGGCGAACGGGUGAAUAACACGUGAGUAACCUGCCCUUGACUUUGGGUUAACUUCAGGAAACUGGGGCUAAUACCGGAUAGGAGCUCCUGCUGCAUGGUGGGGGUUGGAAAGUUUCGGCGGUUGGGGAUGGACUCGCGGCUUAUCAGCUUGUUGGUGGGGUAGUGGCUUACCAAGGCUUUGACGGGUAGCCGGCCUGAGAGGGUGACCGGCCACAUUGGGACUGAGAUACGGCCCAGACUCCUACGGGAGGCAGCAGUGGGGAAUAUUGCACAAUGGGCGGAAGCCUGAUGCAGCAACGCCGCGUGCGGGAUGACGGCCUUCGGGUUGUAAACCGCUUUCGCCUGUGACGAAGCGUGAGUGACGGUAAUGGGUAAAGAAGCACCGGCUAACUACGUG
rnacentral:rRNA from 1 species